UGUGUGUGUGUGUGUGUGUGUGUGUGUGUGUCUGAUGUGUGUCUGAUGUGUGUACCAUGUAAUGCAUGAGUUGAGAAACAGCUUCAACGUUAUUAAUCUGUGCUAUAACUCAAACCGGUACUAACAGUCUGCGCAAGAAUAGAGCAAGUUAGAGCCACGUCAUUAAGGAGCUGGUAGCUGGUGGUAGCUUCAGGUAUCUGCAGGUAGCUGGUGGUAGCUGGUGGUAGCAGCAGGUAGCUUCAGGUAUCUGCAGGUAGCUGGUGGUAGCAGCAGGUAGCUUCAGGUAUCUGCAGGUAGCUGAUGGUAGCUGAUGGUAGCUGACGGCAGCUUCAGUUAGCUGAUGGUAGCUUCAGGUAGCUGACGGUAGCUUCAGUUAGCUGAUGGUAGCUUCAGGUAGAUGGAGGUAGCUUCAGGUAGAUGGAGGUAGCUUCAGGUAGAUGGAGGUAGCUUCAGGUAGAUGGAGGUAGCUGCAGGGAGCUUCAGGUAGACGGAGGUAGCUUCAGGUAGAUGGAGGUAGCUUCAGGUAGAUGGAGGUAGCUGCAGGGAGCUUCAGGUAGAUGGAUGUAGCUGCAGGUAGAUGGAGGUAGCCUCAGGUAGCUUCAGGUAGACGGAGGUAGCUUCAGGUAGAUGGAGGUAGCUGCAGGGAGCAGCAGGUAGCUUCAGGUAGCUUCAGGUAGCUUCAGGUAGCUUCAGGUAGAUGGAGGUAGCUGCAGGUAGAUGGAGGUAGCUUCAGGUAGCUUCAGGUAGAUGGAGGUAGCUUCAGGUAGAUGGAGGUAGCUUCAGGUAGCUUCAGGUAGAUGGAGGUAGCUUCAGGUAGCUUCAGGUAGACGGAGGUAGCUUCAGGUAGAUGGAGGUAGCUUCAGGUAGCUUCAGGUAGAUGGAGGUAGCUUCAGGUAGAUGGAGGUAGCUGCAGGGAGCAGCAGGUAGAUGGAGGUAGCUGCAGGGAGCAGCAGGUAGAUGGAGGUAGCUGCAGGGAGCAGCAGGUAGAUGGAGGUAGCUGCAGGGAGAAGCAGUUAGACUGUCUAUGAGUAGACUGUGAGGGAUCGAACCCAGCACCUUAAACUGGGAGUCACACUCCCCUAACCACGAGUAUCCUGCCCCAUUACAACAAAAUAAAUAUCAACUGUAAUAAUUUACAAUGUGGGUACAUUCCUUAACCAUUCAUUAACGUUUGUUAAUGCAGAAAUUAUGGAAAAUGUUCAUGUUCACUGUGUUAAUAUGUUAACUUAAUAUUACAUAUUAUUGAUGUUAAUAGCCUAACCCCAACAUCAGUGCCAUGGUGUGUGUGCAUGUGUAUAAUGUUUGUGUGUGUGUAAUGUUUGUGUGUGUAUAAUGUUUGUGUGUGUAUAAUGUUUGUGUUUGUAUAAUGUUUGUGUGUGUAUAAUGCUUGCAGGUGUAUAAUGUUUGUGUGUGUAUAAUGUGUGUCUUUGAUUUUCUGUGUGUAUAACGUGUGUUUGUGUGUGAGUAAUUUGUAUGUGUUUUUGUUCAUAAUGUGUCUGUGUAUAAUGUGUGUGUAUGAUGUGUUUGUGUGUGGUGUUUGUGUGUGUAUGUGUCCAUGUGUGUGUCCGUGUGUGUGUGUGUUUGAGUGUGUGUGUGGGUGUGGUGUGUUUCUGUGUGUCCUUGUGUGUGUGUGUGUGUGUGUGUGUGUGUGUGUGUGUGUGUGUGUGUGUGUGUGUGUGUGUCCGUGUGUGUGUCUGUGUAUGUGUGUGUUUGUGUCCGUGUGUGUGUGUGUGUCCGUGUGUGUAUUUUUGUGUGUGUGUGUGUGUGUGUGUGUGUGUGUGUGUGUGUGUGUGUCCGUGUGUGUG
ensembl:lncRNA